GCCGCCGCCGCCCCGGAGCGGCCCUGACCCCUGACUCCCGCAUUCCUCCGGCUGCGCCCCCCCAGCGCACACUCUCACCCCCCCAGCACGGGUUUUUAUUUUUCGUCCCAAUGUGCUUUAAAUAUGCUCUCUAUGAAUAGAGAGAGUGCCUAUUUACUCUGAAAUACUUGGCACAGCGAGUGGAGUCUGAAGCAUGGAAGAAGUGGCUAUUAUUUUCCCACUGCCUGUAUGCAGCUGUCAUUUCUGAGCAACACGUUCCUCGCACAUCCCUGCUUCCAACCUUGCUGAUGGUCUGUCCCAGGAUUGCAACAAGAAGAGAAUGGCAUGCCACCUCACUCAGCCAAAACCUUAACACUGUGGUUUGUAUUUGACUGAACACAGGACCUAAGCAUUGUUGCUUGUA